GUGUUAUAAAAAAAGGGGGGAGGUUGGGCACCCCCUUGAAAAGGGAAAGGAAGAGCCCUUCAUGGUUUAAAAACCAAAUGAGGCUUGCCCCCUUUUUAUUUUGAGGGCAGCUUAUAUUUUUA